UACGAAGGGUGCAAGCGUUAAUCGGAAUUACUGGGCGUAAAGCGUGCGCAGGCGGUGAUGUAAGACGGUUGUGAAAUCCCCGGGCUCAACCUGGGAACUGCAUCUGUGACUGCAUCGCUGGAGUGCGGCAGAGGGGGAUGGAAUUCCGCGUGUAGCAGUGAAAUGCGUAGAUAUGCGGAGGAACACCGAUGGCGAAGGCAAUCCCCUGGGCCUGCACCGACGCUCAUGCACGAAAGCGUGGGGAGCAAACAGG
rnacentral:rRNA from 1 species